GGUGCUAUAGUGUAGUGGUUAUCACUCGGGAUUUUGAUCUUAGCUCGUCUUCCCGAAACCCAGGUUCGAACCCUGGUAGCACCU
rnacentral:tRNA from 1 species